rnacentral:rRNA from 1 species
CAUGUCUUUUUGAUGAUAAUUUAAAGUCUAAUCUGCCCUAUGAAUUAAUUUUUAAAUGGCUGCGGUAUUUUGACCGUGCAAAGGUAGCAUAAUAAUUAGUUUCUUAAUUAGGAACUGGUAUGAAAGGUUGGACGAGAAAAAUACUGUCUCAAUUUAAAUUUAAUUAGAAUUUUAUAUUUAAGUUAAAAAGCUUAAAUAUUUUUAAAAGACGAGAAGACCCUAUAGAGUUUAAUAUUAAUUUUAUUUAUUUAAAAAUUAAAGUAUUUUAAAUUUAUUUAUAUUAAUUAGUAUUUAAUUGGGGUGAUUAAAAAAUUAAUUUAACUUUUUUUAUUUAAAAUCAUUAAUAAAUGUAUAAUUGAUCCAUAAUUUAUGAUUAUAAGAUUAAAUUACCUUAGGGAUAACAGCGUAAUUUUUUUUUAGAGUUCUUAUCGAAAAAAAAGUUUGCGACC